AGAGUUUGAUCAUGGCUCAGAUUGAACGCUGGCGGCGUGCCUAACACAUGCAAGUCGAGCGGCAGCGCGGGGGCAACCCUGGCGGCGAGCGGCGGACGGGUGAGUAACGCUUGGGAAUCUGCCUGUUAGUGGGGGAUAACUCGGGGAAACUCGAGCUAAUACCGCAUACGCACUACGGUGGAAAGCCGGGGACCGCAAGGCCUGGCGCUAACAGAUGAGCCCAAGUCGGAUUAGCUAGUUGGUAGGGUAAUGGCCUACCAAGGCUACGAUCCGUAGCUGGUCUGAGAGGACGACCAGCCACACUGGGACUGAGACACGGCCCAGACUCCUACGGGAGGCAGCAGUGGGGAAUAUUGGACAAUGGGGGAAACCCUGAUCCAGCGACGCCGCGUGGGUGAAGAAGGCCUGCGGGUUGUAAAGCCCUUUCGGUGGGGAAGAAAAGCUUCGACCUAAUACGUCGGAGUCUUGACGUAACCCACAGAAGAAGCACCGGCUAACUCUGUGCCAGCAGCCGCGGUAAUACAGAGGGUGCGAGCGUUAAUCGGAAUUACUGGGCGUAAAGCGCGCGUAGGCGGCUUUGCAAGUCGGGUGUGAAAUCCCCAGGCUUAACCUGGGAACUGCAUUCGAGACUGCAUUGCUAGAGUAUGGGAGAGGGAAGUGGAAUUUCAGGUGUAGCGGUGAAAUGCGUAGAUAUCUGAAGGAACAUCAGUGGCGAAAGCGACUUCCUGGACCAAUACUGACGCUCAUGUGCGAAAGCGUGGGGAGCAAACAGGAUUAGAUACCUGGUAGUCCACGCCAUAAACGAUGAGAACUGGAUGUCGGGAGGGUCUGCCUCUCGGUGUCGUAGCUAACGCGUUAAGUUCUCCGCCUGGGGAGUACGGCCGCAAGGUUGAAACUCAAAUGAAUUGACGG
rnacentral:rRNA from 1 species